UUAAGGUUAGUUUAUUAGAAUUUUUAAUUGUUAACUAAAAGGUUUAUCCUUAAG
rnacentral:tRNA from 1 species